AAAUGCUGACUUUCUCGCAGUGCAAAACUGAAAACAUCACUGGACUUGCUUUUAGUGCCUUUCGAAUAGAAAUGUUAAAAAAUAUAUCGAAGAACUUUUAACGGCUUUUAGUGGUUUCUACCAAAUGAUUUUUAGUUUUUUAACAGUUCACAGGCCACAACAGUUUUUUUCAUAGCUCACAGCCCACAGCACCUUUUUUCACAUCCACAGCCCAACCAAACAGACCCAACUCUAACUCUGAUUCUAAGUGAGGAUUCAGAGAAGCUGUGCUAAACGGAAAUUUUUUUACUGAUUCUCAUGUAGCAGAAAGAUUGGAAGUCGUUUUUGUGAAAGAAAAGUGGGAUAAAAAAACAUGCUUCAUCGUCUCUUAAAACAGCUCCUCAACCAACCAAAUAUAGACCUUCCCUUAAAGAUUGACCAAAAUUACUCGUAAAUGCCAUUGAAAAAAAUCAUCACGAUCCCCUCUCGUACCCCCACGGCGUCCGGCCUCUGUUUCACGACCCCUUGCCUACAGGUAGCGGCGGCUAGGGUUCUGUCGUUCUCCAGCAAAUCUGCCGCCCUCCAGCCACCGUGCCGCCCUCCAGCCACUUUUUCGCCCUCUAGCCAUCAACCUCAGGGAGUCAGCCAGUGUCGGCGCCAUCCUCAACACCCGCCAGUGGUGUGUCUUCGUCUAUUUGCGAUGGAAGCAAACAGAACAGGCUCAUGCACUAGCACCAUGCACAAGAGGUGGUUUGUUCAUAUGUCUGUAACAAUAGUAGCGUACGUGCGAGUAGAGAACCCAAUGCUCACUCGUCAUCCAUGAAUGCAUAUGCAUCACAACAGCUGUACAUAUUUGUUUUAGGUUUUAAUUUUUUUUACAGCAUGCAUAUUUGUUUGAGGUUUAAUUUUUUUAUAGCAUUAUGGGUGAUAGUGCUGAUCAGAAUGAAGAGAACACAGCCCUAGUAUAUGAAUUGUUCGCCGAACAAGCGAAGGCGCAUAAUCGUUAUGGCACCCACUUGAAUAAAAUAGGGUACAAAAAUGUGAUGGACAAAUUCAAAGAAAAUACCAGGUUGUCCUAUACCAAAAUGCAGUUCAAGAACAAAUGGGACAAUAUGAGGAUUGAGUACACAAACUGGAAAAGAUUAUCGAGAUAAACCGGGUUAGGAUGGGACACCGCUAAAAACAUGGAGUGCGACGAAUGAAAGGUGGAAGAACCUGAAUAAGCAAUACAAAGGAAUUGUUAAGUUUAAAGAUGGGCCUCUCUUGCACGAGGAAGAAAACACCAUCAUGUAUGAAGAUGUUAGGAACACAGGAGAUGAUCAUUGGGCUCCAUCUAGUUGUACUACACCGCACAUUGUGGAUGGUGAAACCAGAUUAUAUCCCUACUAUUCCAGCCCGUAAUAGGCGACAUGUCCCUCAAUGCAUCAGACACAUCUACCAUAGGGUCAAGUGGCAUGAACAUGAAUAGGUUUCGUGAUGUAGCGAAGGCACUUUGGGAGUCAAAGUAAUUAGAAAAUGUGGUUCGUGUCAUAAUUUGGGGAGAGUGCCAUGCUAGUUUUAUGCAUUUUAUGGAUUGAACAUUUGAGACCAUUUUAUGUACUAAUAUAAUGGGAAUAUUAUAUGGUAUUAUUUCAUAAAUUUGUUCGUAUA